rnacentral:rRNA from 1 species
CACGUAGGGCGCGAGCGUUGUCCGGAAUUAUUGGGCGUAAAGAGCUCGUAGGCGGCCUGUUGCGUCCGCUGUGAAAGCCCGGGGCUUAACCCCGGGCCUGCAGUUCGAUACGGGCAGACGUAGAGUUCGGUAGGGGAGUCGUGGAAUUCCUGGUGUGAGCGGUGGAAAUGACGCAGAUAUCAGGAAGAACACCCGUGGCUAAGGCGGCUCUCUAGUACGUGACUGACGCUGAGACGCGAAAGCGUGGGGAGCGAACAGG